rnacentral:rRNA from 1 species
CACGUAGGGCGCAAGCGUUGUCCGGAAUUAUUGGGCGUAAAGAGCUCGUAGGCGGUCUGUUGCGUCCGCUGUGAAAACCCGGGGCUUAACCCCUGGCUUGCAGUGGAUACGGACAGACUAGAGGUAGGUAGGGAGAAUGGAAUUCCGGUGUAGCGGUGAAAUGCGCAGAUAUCGGGAGGAACACCGGUGGCGAAGGCGGUUCUCUGGGCCUUACCUGACGCUGAGGAGC